AUUCACCUUGCCAGCAACCAGAACCCCUGUGUUCCUUUCCCUGGGGCAGCUUUCCAGCCUCUCAUACCCCAUAUCUACAUAUAUGCACAGCAGCCUCAUCCCAGGGUUUCUCUGUUGCUGAGGGAGUGAACCGUUCCUCCCAACCUAGCUGUAGGAGAAGGAUAUUUUAAAUGCAGAGAAUUCAGGAUGUUGUCUCCAUCAAGAAACCAGGAAGGUAAAGGUCAUACCUCCGUCAUUGUCUUGUGGCACACCCACGAAGCUAUGGCAUAUAAGUAGGAUGUGGUUUGAAAUUAAAGCUUCUUUGGCAGAGUGUGAUCUGUUGCCCAUAUCUUCAGAUUUCCAUUUUUCUGACCACAGACCAGGAGUUCGAGUCCAUGUCUCUGUUCAUACAGGUAUGCACAAAGAGUAAAUUUAAAAAAUAAAUGAUGAAGAAAUAUACACUGAAUUCCUCACAAGCCUCAAGAUUUGUACUCUGUUGAUGUUUGGAGACUACCAGGCACCCUUCUAUUUAUUAGUCGAGCUUACAUGGAGAUUAUCGGAGAGUCUUCAUAUCAUCACUAAGUUUGAGGCAUUCCUCUGUUUCUUUGCUGAGGACCUGUUUCCAAGGAGAUUGAAAAUACAGCCCAAGUCUAUUUAUCAUGCUGGACCUCAUUUCCCCAAAGUCCGUGAGGUGAGAACAGGGCUGUUUACUGCACAAAUGCAAAAUCGAGUACAAGAGGAAACAACAGAGGAACAAAAUUCAGACCUGAGUCCUGGUGGAAGUUCCAUGAUAUUAGUUCCACUGAAGCUUUUAUUUGAGACGUUGGCAAUUUUGCUCUUCAGAUCCCUGACACCAGCUGGAAUUUUCAGUUCUACACGGAGAAUCCAUGGUCUUCAGCCAUUCCUUGAACUUCAGAAAAUUCACUCAGGUCUGGAAGAAGGAUAUGUUCCUUGAAGGGUGCCAGAUGGUGAAGGUACUGCGUCAACCACAUGGUGAAAUAGAACUGCUAGUAUUGUAUCAUCAUUUGCAAAACCCAGUAAAAACACUGACGUGUCAUUGCUGAAAUGUCAAAAAAGUGAACUAUCAAAAGACUGUUUAAACUAUAUCAAAUGUUACAUUUUAAUGAGAAUCAAAUUUCUUUUCUUCUUGCUUUUAAGUUAAGAUAAAUAACAGGUUUUGUUGUAAUAUAUUUAAGAAUACAUAAACAAAAACAAUUUUCAAAUUUAAAAGAAAGAAUUCCAGGUUAGCUUCACUUUCAAACAUGCAGUCCUUUGUUUACAAAAUUGAAUGGAAACUCCAAAUCAGAUUUACAGUUGAAAUUGCAUUUCAUUUUCAACUGUGGAAUGGUCAUUGUACUCUAUAUUUUAUUUCCCUUUACCAGUCCAUAAAAUGUGUUAACAAGCUACUCAUAAGAUUGUGCCAGUAAUAUGAAUGCUUUGCACAGUAUGUAUGGUAAAAUUUUAGUGGAUCACUGUGAAAUCCGUAAAGAAUAUUUGUACAUUGAUAUUCAUGAUUGGUUUAUGUUAUGGUACUUGGUGAACUCACUUCCAACUGAAGUUUCAGUGCAAAAAGAAGUUGCAGCAGAUAAAUUGUGUGACAAGUUCUUUGCAUGCACAAGAACUACUAAACAGUCUAUUCUUACUAGGGCUCAUCACUGUUGCAAUCCAUCCUGUAGGGGGUCAGUGCUAAAAUUAAAUUAUACCUGCCUACCAUUCUCAAUCUAAUCAGGCUAUAAACUGGAAAAUAAAACAAUUAAAAUUAGAGACAGGCCAGCCUCCCACUGUUUAUGAUCUCAUUCUAUUUGUGAAGAGUAGGUGGAAAUUCACCCGUGGUGAGCAUUUGGUUUAUGUCAAUUUUUCUUGUUAUUACAGCUGGGGCUUAUUUUGUGAACUGUUUUCAGCUAUUUCUGCUAAAAAUAGGUGGAUACCAAUUUAAACUUCCUGGCGAUAUUUCAAGUCAAAGUAUCAUUAGUAGAUAGUUAU
ensembl:lncRNA